rnacentral:rRNA from 1 species
UACGAAGGGGGCUAGCGUUGUUCGGAUUUACUGGGCGUAAAGCGCACGUAGGCGGAUCGUUAAGUCAGGGGUGAAAUCCUGGGGCUCAACCCCAGAACUGCCUUUGAUACUGGCGAUCUCGAGUCCGGAAGAGGUGAGUGGAACUCCUAGUGUAGAGGUGGAAUUCGUAGAUAUUAGGAAGAACACCAGUGGCGAAGGCGGCUCACUGGUCCGGUACUGACGCUGAGGUGCGAAAGCGUGGGGAGCAAACGGG